rnacentral:rRNA from 1 species
AUACGGAGGGUGCAAGCGUUAUUCGGAAUCACUGGGCGUAAAGGACGCGUAGGCGGGUUGGCAAGUCAGAUGUGAAAUCCUACAGCUUAACUGUAGAACUGCAUUUGAAACUGCUAACCUAGAGUAUGGGAGGGGGAGAUGGAAUUAGUGGUGUAGGGGUAAAAUCCGUAGAUAUCACUAGGAAUACCGAAAGCGAAGGCGAUCUCCUGGAACAUAACUGACGCUAAGGCGUGAAAGCGUGUGGAGCAAACAGAAUUAGAUACCCUAGUAGUCC